GACAUUCAAAAAUCGCAUUAUCCUCCGUGGUCUUCUCUUUUGGCGGCUCGACGAGCGUUUUCUCGAAAGGGCUAUGCACGAACAAUCGGCUCGCGAGAGCGCUCCGCCACCACCAAUUUUUGCGCUGUUUCUCUUCUCUUCUGUCUCCGUCACGACUCUUCAAUUUGGCGGCGGCGUCGAUUGGAAACGAAUUGGUGA
ensembl:ncRNA M195.6 ncRNA